rnacentral:tRNA from 1 species
UCCAUGGUAGUCCAGUGGCAAAGACUCCAUGCCUUCAAUGCAGGGGGCCCAGGUUCAAUCCCUGGUCAGGGAA